GAUCCUGGCUCAGAGUGAACGCUGGCGGUAGGCCUAACACAUGCAAGUCGAUCGGCAGCACAGGAGAGCUUGCUCUCUGGGUGGCGAGUGGCGGACGGGUGAGGAAUGCAUCGGAAUCUACUCUUUCGUGGGGGAUAACGUAGGGAAACUUACGCUAAUACCGCAUACGACCUACGGGUGAAAGCCGGGGACCUUCGGGCCUGGCGCGAAUGAAUGAGCCGAUGCCCGAUUAGCUAGUUGGCGGGGUAAGAGCCCACCAAGGCGACGAUCGGUAGCUGGUCUGAGAGGAUGAUCAGCCACACUGGAACUGAGACACGGUCCAGACUCCUACGGGAGGCAGCAGUGGGGAAUAUUGGACAAUGGGCGCAAGCCUGAUCCAGCCAUACCGCGUGGGUGAAGAAGGCCUUCGGGUUGUAAAGCCCUUUUGUUGGGAAAGAAAAGCAAUCGGUUAAUACCCGGUUGUUCUGACGGUACCCAAAGA
rnacentral:rRNA from 1 species